AUGAACGCUGGCGGCGUGCCUCAUCCAUGCAAGUCGAGCGAACAGACGAGGAGCUUGCUCCUCUGACGUUAGCGGCGGACGGGUGAGUAACACGUGGAUAACCUACCUAUAAGACUGGGAUAACUUCGGGAAACCGGAGCUAAUACCGGAUAAUAUAUUGAACCGCAUGGUUCAAUAGUGAAAGACGGUUUUGCUGUCACUUAUAGAUGGAUCCGCGCCGCGUUAGCUAGUUGGUAAGGUAACGGCUUACCAAGGCAACGAUGCGUAGCCGACCUGAGAGGGUGACCGCCCACACUGGAAGUGAGACACGGCACAGACUCCUACGGGAGGCAGCAGUAGGGAAUCUUCCGCAAUGGGCGAAAGCCUGACGGAGCAACGCCGCGUGAGUGAUGAAGGUCUUCGGAUCGUAAAACUCUGUUAUUAGGGAAGAACAAAUGUGUAAGUAACUAUGCACGUCUUGACGGUACCUAAUCAGAAAGCCACGGCUAACUACGUG
rnacentral:rRNA from 1 species